GCCAAUAAUAUUGCUCCCAAUAUUUUCUGCGACACUUGACAGUGAACAGCUCCUCAGAACAUCAUGACGUAACACUUAGCGGCACGGCACUGCAUCAACGACAUGAAUUUGCUGGCUCUUAUAUUGGCGUCCUUCGCAGCAAGAAUCUGUGCUUCAAAUUUUUCGCAGGCACACAUUGACCCACCAAUGUGGUACACGGCUCUACAAAACGUGGCUAUCAGGUUAUGCACAAGAGCUCCUUGCGAACCCCAAAAGACAUUUCUUGGCUUUUGCGGUAUUGGAUGCACGUGUAGGCGAUGGAAGAAUGGUUACCAGUGCUUGUCGAUAUUUGACUUGG
rnacentral:lncRNA from 1 species